rnacentral:lncRNA from 1 species
ACGGUGUGAAUUGGUACCACUUUCAGGAAAGCAAUUUGGCAGAAUGCUUCAAGAUUCAUAAAAAAAGAUCAUGUCUAUGAUUGGAAGUUUUUAUACCUGGUAAUCUUUCUUAAGUGGAGAUUGUACAGAGGGGAAAACAUUGUAUGUAUGAGUGUGCCACACAAGAGAGCUACAGUUACAACAGCGAAAGGAUGAUUUGGGACACUGGCUAAUGAACUAAUAUACAGGCUUUGAAGACUGACAACAUCAAAAUCAGAACCGUAGAUUUAAAUGGUGUACCCAGCACAAAAUAUGCACAUAACUCCAAGGGCUGAAGAAGAAUUCACAAAAUGACAGCCAGAUGGAAUUAAGAAUAGCUUAAAACAUCUGUAUUGUGGAACACUACAGACCUCACAGAAGCAGACAAGAUCGUUCCCUACCAGUGGCUAAAGUGACUGGAACAAUGACCUUGUGACCCUGUCUGCAUUUAUUUUAAAAGUAAUUCAAAACCACCCGUUACAUUCAAUUAUUAGACAAUUCAGCUAGUUAGUAUUAUUUUCUCAAUCUCCCCGUAUCUUCUGUGAAACCAUUGACAGUUUUGAAGAACACAGGAGAACGUUCCUCAAUUUGAGACUUCUCAUAUUCCUCAUUACCAGAUUUAGGUGAAGCAUAUUUUAUAGGAUUAUUGUGGAAGUAGUGUGUGUUUUUAUUAGUGUUUUGUACCAGCAUAUACACAAUCUGAACUUAUAUCAUGAAUAGAAAUGUUCUUUGAUCACCCAGGAAUCUGUCAAAUAUUAUUUCCCCCCGAGAUACACUGAGUAUCUAAAUAUCUUUUCAUUUCCAACUCGCCCAGUAGUUUCUAGCAUCAGCCGAUAAAUUCUGCCUGAUGAAUUAUGAUGAUUGACAAGUAAUAUCUUUUCCAAUGUCAAAAUGUCUCCUACUUUUGACAACUAUCUUUCAUUUCUUCAUGGCCAUUACAAUCAUUACAUUCAUUGGCUUUCUUCUUUAAGGGAUUUCUCUUUACCACUGACACGUGACUCCACAGGUUAUUAUCUACUAGUGCUAUUGACUGGGAUGUUUAAUCAUUUCCGAUUAUUACAUUAGUAUAAGCCCAUCACACUCAACCCAGUGUCUUUACACAUAUCACCCCAUACUUGCUUGGUACUUUCUAGCCUACAGUGUUGCAGUCUCAUCAUACUGGCCUUGGAAUCAACUCAUUAACUAAGCAAUGCUCGUUUAGUUCUGUAAGUCGCAUGGUAUGCAGAUAUUAGGGUGUGGGUCCAGGUACACUCAUUGCUACAAGAAUGUCGUGCUUCUGUAUCAUAGACUGGGAUGCUAAUGUACACACCCACUCAUGGGUGAGUGUGUCUAUAUAUUUACUUAGCUCUUUCAUUUAUCUGAGAAAUCUGUAACCAGAAACUUACACUGCUGUCUCUAAUUCAUUCUAGUUCACAUUGCAAGGCUCAGUUUCCUUUCCCCCUUCCCUAUUUGUUUUUCCCCCAACAUAAUUUUUAUUAAUUACUUGUGAAUUUCAUAUAAUGCACCCCAUCAUACUUAAUUCCCAUCCCUUCCAGGUCCACCCUUCUACCCUUGUACCCCCAAAGAGUAAUACACCAAGUCCAACUUAUGUUGCCCAUAUACUCAUUGGGCCAACUCUUUAAAGAAAACUGAGGCCCACCCCAUCCCCAUGCCAGGAGCCAACUGUGAAGGUCUACAUCUUUAUCACAAUUUUAAGAUCUCCCUUUUAAGGUCUUCCUAUGUAGGAUGGUGUUAUUAUGCAGGUGAAGGCAGGUACAAGGUAGAAUGAGGCCUGUCAUUGGAUGAGACGGCAGGAUAGGCAGGAGAAAAUUUUUAAAGGGAGGAGACUGGAGUGAGGGGAGGAGAGAAGCAGCCAAGAGAACAUGGAGGCAAAUGUUGAUACCUCUCUGCACAUUUACAG